rnacentral:lncRNA from 1 species
AAAUGGCAAAUCUUUGAGCACAUGGCAAGUAAGAUGCUGAGCAAACAAGUACCACAGCCACACUGGCUAACCAGAAAAGAGUUUAGAUAGCUCAUAAAUUUCUAUUUUAGAAUCAAAGAGGCCUAAAAUCCUAAACAAAAAAGGUUCUCACUCGUUUCCUGAAUUCAUCCUCAUCGGAUGAUAGUUUCCUGAUGCAGGCACACCAUUAACCACGUGACAGCUGGACAUGCCCAUUGGAUCAAGAUGAGGUUGACCUGCAGCUGGAACUGGAGAUUGCUGCAGGACGGGAUAUCCCAUGGGUAAGUUGUUGACUGCACUGGAAACAAGUGGCAAUAAAUAUAAUGAUAAUAAAACUAAAAAAAAACUCAUUUACCUGUUCUGAAAAUAAUAUUAAUCCCCAUGCUAUUCAAACAGCUUAAUUCCAAUUCGAAAAGCCAUGUUUCUCAAUAUUGAGGAAGAAAGGAAGCAGAAGAAAGCAAGUGCAAAGGGCAAGUUGAACUACAUAUUUUGUAAGAAUUUAUGUUGUAUAAACUCUUUGUUUUUAUAAGGAUGACUUAUGUUGUAUAAACUCUUUGUUUUUAUAAGGAUG